CAAACUGGAGAUGGCGACCGGCGCACGGGUGAGUAACACGUAUCCAACCUGCCGAUAACUCGGGGAUAGCCUUUCGAAAGAAAGAUUAAUACCCGAUGGCAUAAUAGAACCGCAUGGUUUGAUUAUUAAAGAAUUUCGGUUAUCGAUGGGGAUGCGUUCCAUUAGGCAGUUGGUGGGGUGACGGCCCACCAAACCUUCGAUGGAUAGGGGUUCUGAGAGGAAGGUCCCCCACAUUGGAACUGAGACACGGUCCAAACUCCUACGGGAGGCAGCAG
rnacentral:rRNA from 1 species